ACACACACCCAUACUCUCCAGAUGGCUCCCUGAAGCCCUGCUCUGCUGCUGACUUAGAGCUAAGGAUGACCAUGAACGCCUGAUGCUCCUGCCCACUCCUCCCAAACACUACAUUAUAGGGGUCAUCACUCUCUGAUUUGUAUCCUGAAUUUAUUUUUGCACCCAUUCCAUAGGACUUGAGUGAGUUUGGCGCAACAGCCUUGGCAGGACGUUGUUUAAUAGACACUAGCUUAGAAUAAACACUUAUAUUAAUGACAUCAUUAUUUCAGCAGGUCCUUCCUGCUGGGCAGACCUCACCAGAACAGAUCUGAGCAGGAAACCUCAUCUGUUUUGCUGGCUCACCUCCCAGAGACAUCAUGGGUAACGACCACAGGCCUUAUUUUCCCAUCGGGCCCUGUCUUCUCUUACUAAGGAGUAAUACCAGUGAUGUCUGCCACUUGUGUAUUGUAAUCCACAAAACCACGGGACAAGUGAAGAAGAGAGUGUGAGAGAGUGUGAUUCAGGG
rnacentral:lncRNA from 1 species